UCAAAGUUGACCUCAGUAGCAUUUAAAUGUAAAUUGGCCAAUUUGUCUUAUCGGAUUUUUAAUUUAGCUAAGUUAGACAUUGAGAAACCUAUGAGUUUCAGUUGUGCUCUGCAGGCAUCAAGUGGUCUCCCCAGAAAUUUUAAAUUAGAAGGCAGAAAUUGUAAUUUCUCUUGCUUUUGCAAGACCUCACCAAAGUUAAUCUUUUGCAAUAAGUUUCAUAAUCAGUUAUCCCAUAGCAUGUUUCAGUGUCCACUGGAACACUUUCAUGUAGACAAAGAGACUUAAGAAUGUUUGUUAUUAAUAAACUGUGUAGUGUGGAAAAUUAAUUUGAGAAGAAACUAAAUGAACCUUAAUUUGUAAAACUUCUUUCAAAAUCAAGAAUUUGUGAUUUUUAUGUUAAAUGAACAUUUAAUUCCUGUUAUUUUUUUCUGGUUUAGUUUUCAUUUUCUAUCUUUUCUUAAGUUUGUUUGUGUUUUCCCUUGGUCCAAUUGGCUCUAAAAACCAGGUAUGUAUUUAUAAUGGGGUAAGAAAUGGCCAAAUUAAUCCAGUUAUUUGAGUGACUCUUUUACACAGCAUGAGACAAUUAAAUGCUGAUACUUUUAGAGGCAGAUUGAAGUGAUGAUGCUGAGAUGACCUACCCUCAGCAGACAACAUACUGGAUUUGUAUAAACCUUUUUUAAGGAAGCUACAUCCUGCAGAAAUGAGGGAAGCAAGAAUCUGAAGAGGAUCACAAACUUCAGAAAGAGAAAAAGGAUAUUAUUAGCAUUUGGAAGUGGUCCUGUCCCAGAAUACUUGGUUUCCUAUAGGAUGACAAAAGAUCAUGUCACCUUCCACAGCAUGAUGUAUCCUAGAAAAGGAAAUUCGUGCAGCUACCUUGUCCAGUUUUGUGCACAUGGGAGGAAAUGCAGUGGUAGAGUGGUUUGCUACUUCCUCUUCUAAAAUGUUGCCUAUGCAUUGAUCACAGAGUAUGGCUUGAAUGGAUUGAUUGUUUGCCUAGACCUUCCUUCACCACAGGAUGUAGUCCUGAAGGAAAUUGUUCAUCAAAAUGUAAUUGUCAACAUUUUAUACAUUCAAGAAAGCAAAAGUCUCUUGCAUGUGAAAUGUGGUGAUGUUAUCAACAGGUGUCUUUAUGUUCAAGGCAAGGAUGGGAAAGGUUUCAUUACCUUUCUAGAAACUUCCCAUGAACAUGAUUAGUAAUUAUUUUCAACUAGCUGUUUAGUGUCUUUCAUACUCAAUCAUCAAAUGUAAUCUGAACUAUCUGUCCAAAUUUAAUCUUUUAAUACUGUAAAUGUUAGGUUUCCUGUGCACUAGGCCCUCUCUCUGCCAAGGUUUUGUCAUUCAACACUAAGGUCAAACCUCAGUGCACGUGUGUUUUUAUUGCUUGUUAUUUUUGCCUUUAUUCUUCGGAUGAUCUUUUAACUGGACUUACAUUGAAGGAAUAGAACAUUACGGAAUCAUUAUGGAUAUUGUUGCAAUUUUUAAGGUCAUGGACUUGGACACUUGCUUGUUUGUAAGGAUUUCUCAUAUGGUAUUGUAUUCAAGCAGGGUGCUGAGUGUAGUUGAUCAGAUCAAAUAAAUUGUGGAAUUGACACCGAA